rnacentral:rRNA from 1 species
GAUCCUGGCUCAGGAUGAACGCUAGCUACAGGCUUAACACAUGCAAGUCGAGGGGCAGCAUGUCGGUUGCUUGCAACCGAUGAUGGCGACCGGCGCACGGGUGAGUAACGCGUAUCCAACCUACCCUUGUCCAUCGGAUAACCCGUCGAAAGGCGGCCUAACACGAUAUGCGGUUCUCAGCAGGCAUCUAACGAGAACGAAAUGUGAAGGAGAAGGAUGGGGAUGCGU